rnacentral:rRNA from 1 species
UCAGUCGAACGGUAAACAGGAAGCAAGCUUGCUGCCUUCGGCUGACGAGUGGCGGACGGGUGAGUAAUGUCUGGGAAACUGCCCUGAUGGAGGGGGAUAACUACUGGAAACGGUAGCUAAUACCGCAUAACGUCUCAAGACCAGAGAGGGGGACCUUCGGGCCUCUUGCCAUCGGAUGUGCCCAAAUGGGAUUAGCUAGUAGGUGGGGUAACGGCUCACCUAGGCGACGAUCCCUAGCUGGUCUGAGAGGAUGACCAGCCACACUGGAACUGAGACACGGUCCAGACUCCUACGGGAGGCAGCAGUGGGGAAUAUUGGACAAUGGGCGCAAGCCUGAUGCAGCCAUGCCGCGUGUAUGAAGAAGGCCUUCGGGUUGUAAAGUACUUUCAGCGGGGAGGAAGGCGAUAAGGUUAAUAACCUUGUGGAUUGACGUUACCCGCAGAAGAAGCACCGGCUAACUCCGUGCCAGCAGCCGCGGUAAUACGGAGGGUGCAAGCGUUAAUCGGAAUUACUGGGCGUAAAGCGCACGCAGGCGGUCUGUCAAGUCCGAUGUGAAAUCCCUGGGCUCAACCUGGGAACUGCAUUCGAAACUGGCAGGCUAUAGUCUUGUAUAGGGGGGUAGAAUUCCAAGUGUAGCGGUGAAAUGCGUAGAGAUCUAGAGGAAUACCGGUGGCGAAGGCGGCCCCCUGGACAAAGACUGACACUCAGGUGCGAAAGCGUGGCGAGCUAACAGGAUUAGAUACCCUGGUAGUCCACGCCGUAAACGAUGUCGACUUGGAGGUUGUGCCCUUGUGGCGUGGCUUCCCGAACUAACUCAUUUAAUCUACCGCCCGGGGAGUACGGCGGCCAAGGUCAUGACUCGAAUGAAUUGUACGGGGGCCACGCAUGCGGUGGAGCAUGUGGUUUUAUUCCAUGCAUACGAAAAAAACCUUGCCAUGCCUGACAUCCAAAAUAACUUAGCAAAAAUGCGUUGGGUGCUCUGGGAACAUUGAAAAAAGGGGUGGAUGACUGUCCCCCGCGCGGGGUGGUGAAA